rnacentral:rRNA from 1 species
GGAGGACGCUUGGGAUCGAAAGACCUUGUGCUUUUAGAGCGGCCGACUUCUGAUUAGCUAGUUGGUAAGGUAAAGGCUUACCAAGGCAACGAUCAGUAGCUGGUCUGAGAGGACGACCAGCCACACUGGGACUGAGACACGGCCCAGACUCCUACGGGAGGCAGCAGUGGGGAAUUUUGGACAAUGGGCGCAAGCCUGAUCCAGCCAUGCCGCGUGAGUGAAGAAGGCCUUCGGGUUGUAAAGCUCUUUCGGUCGGGAAGAAAUAGUUGUGGCUAAUAUCCUUUACGAAUGACGGUACCGACAUAAGAAGCACCGGCUAACUACGUGCCAGCAGCCGCGGUAAUACGUAGGGUGCAAGCGUUAAUCGGAAUUAUUGGGCGUAAAGGGUGCGCAGGCGGAUGUAUAAGUCAGAUGUGAAAUCCCCGGGCUUAACCUGGGAAUUGCGUUUGAAACUACAAAGCUAGAAGGGG